rnacentral:lncRNA from 1 species
GUCGGCGUAGCGUUUGGACCACGCCUGGGCCUCGGCGCGCGCUGCGGCCCACGGGUCCAGGCGCUCGCGCUCCCAAUACUCGACGUCGUCAUAGGAGGGUCGUGUCGGUUCCUGGUAGGUGCCGGGCGCGGCCACCGCGGGCGCAGCGCCGGCGGCCUUGGACGUCUUGGCGCGCGCGCGUCUCCAAAACAUGGCGUCUGCCGGCCAAGGGCACACCAAAUGGAAAAAAAAGAAGAGUCUGAAAACAAAGAGAGAACAAAAAGCGCUGAAAAGAGAACGACCAACAGCGCACGGGCAAAGGUGCACGAAAAAAAAGGUGCACACGCACGUACCUGAAAAACAGGCAACAAUAGACAGAGAAAUGAGCCGCCGGGGGAUCAAAAAGAGGGAGGAGGACGGGCGAGGGCGCGUCCUUGCGGGGUUUCCCUUUGUGUGUCGCUCGACGGCGCCGGGCAUCGAGCGUCGACGUCGACAGCACGACCAAAAACGCAAACAGGCAGGAAAAACAAAAAGGAAAAAAGGAAAAACAAUGGGCCAACGGCGACGACAGAGGAGGUUUUUUCGCAUUUUUUCCUCGGUGUCGAAAAGAAAUCUUCUCGGGAUGGGG